AGAUGGAGGUCAAGCAGAAGGGGCAGAGGAUGAACUGGAAAUCCGGGCAUCAAAGAAAGGUCUAUGCAUAUGAGAGAAAAAAUACCUAGGGAAGGAGAAAAAGGAGAAGAAACAGACAAGAGAGAAAGGAGAAAGAGCUGGGAGCAGGGAAGGAAUAGAAGGCCAGCAGGCCAGUGCUGAGAAUGCUGGGCAGACCCCCUGCCAGGGCCUGAAAUGCUGCCACUGGUGACUCAACCUUUUGUCUUCAAAACUGCAAGGGAGAAAAAAAAUCUCAUACUAGGGGGCACCACAGCUUUUAUCAGCAAUCCCAUUAGAGGCUAAGACUGAGAGGCAUGAGACUGCAAGUUCAACGCCCCCUUUGAUGUUGGAAUCAAGCUGUCAGGGGUUCAGUACCAGCAGCACAGCCAGGCCCUGGGGAAGUUUCUUCAGGACAUCCUCUGGGAAGAGGCCAAAGAGGCCCCAGCUGACAAGUGAUCGCCCACAAGCCUUACUCACCUCUCUCUAAGUUUAGAAGCGCUCAUCUGGCUUUUCGCUUG
rnacentral:sRNA from 1 species